ensembl:lncRNA
CGCAGGGAUGGGGUGGGGUGACGGUGGGGGGUUGUGGAUGGGGUCUGAGCCCACACAGACCUAAGGAACCUGAAGGGUUCCUCACCUUUCAUUCCCCGCACUCUUGGAAGGAGAAUCCGCCUUCAGGGAGUGCAAGGAAUUCCUGCCAAAGGCUUCCGAAUUCUUUCCUGCUCUGCCCGGUGAGGAAAUCCUGCCGGUUGGCUCUGCAUUUAGGCAGCUUGAGGAAAGAUGGCUCGUGGCUAAGAGCAGGGCGUGUGUGUGUGUGUGUUGGGGGCGGGGGGUGUCAUAAGCAGACCCCGUCCUUCAGGGCGGCAGAGAUGCCAGCGCUCGCGGCAGAGGCCCGGAGCCCUGGCGAGGACAGCGCUGGCUGCGGGAGCCGGGUCCCCGCGCGCGCGUGCGUGGACGAGGCGCGCGCCGGGAGUGCGUGCAGCUGCGGGGAGCCGGUGGUGGCGCGCAGGAAGCGAGCCGGGUUCGCACCGCAGCGGGUGCUAGUGGCUGGCGAGCCGGGGAAGCCCAUUUGUCUUCCACCCUGCAUGCAGAGGCAGCGGGUCUCCAUUUCCAUCAGGCUGGGAUGA